UACAGAGGUCUCAAGCGUUGUUCGGAUUCAUUGGGCGUAAAGGGUGUGUAGGUGGCGCGCUAAGCCAGAUGUGAAAUCCCCGGGCUUAACCUGGGAACUGCAUUUGGGACUGCAAGGCUUGAGUGCGGCAGAGGAGACUGGAAUUCCUGGUGUAGCAGUGAAAUGCGUAGAUAUCAGGAGGAAUACCGAUGGCGAAGGCAGGUCUCUGGGCUGACACUGACGCUCAUGCACGAAAGCGUGGGGAGCAAACAGG
rnacentral:rRNA from 1 species